rnacentral:rRNA from 1 species
GUGAACUCCACAUACGCAUCCUUUGCUGAGGAUACGGUUAACGGAGCGAAAGCGACGUUCAACCUCAAAAGAAGCAGAGGGGGCUUAGUGGUGGGGUGACUGCGUACCUUUUGUAUAAUGGGUCAGCGACUUAUAUUCUGUAGCAAGGUUAACCGCAUAGGGGAGCCGUAGGGAAACCGAGUCUUAACCGGGCGUUAAGUUGCAGGGUAUAGACCCGAAACCCGGUGAUCUAGCCAUGGGCAGGUUGAAGGUUGGGUAACACUAACUGGAGGACCGAACCGACUAAUGUUGAAAAAUUAGCGGAUGACCUGUGGCUGGGGGUGAAAGGCCAAUCAAACCGGGAGAUAGCUGGUUCUCCCCGAAAGCUAUUUAGGUAGCGCCUCGUGAACUCAUCUCCGGGGGUAGAGCACUGUUUCGGCUAGGGGGCCAUCCCGGCUUACCAACCCGAUGCAAACUGCGAAUACCGAAGAAUGUUAUCACGGGAGACACACGGCGGGUGCUAACGUCCGUCGUGAAGAGGGAAACAACCCAGACCGCCAGCUAAGGUCCCAAAGUCAUGGUUAAGUGGGAAACGAUGUGGGAAGGCACAGACAGCCAGGAUGUUGGCUUAGAAGCAGCCAUCAUUUAAAGAAAGCGUAAUAGCUCACUGGUCGAGUCGGCCUGCGCGGAAGAUGUAACGGGGCUAAACCAUGCACCGAAGCUGCGGCAGCGACACUAUGUGUUGUUGGGUAGGGGAGCGUUCUGUAAGCCGUUGAAGGUGUCCUGUGAGGGAUGCUGGAGGUAUCAGAAGUGCGAAUGCUGACAUAAGUAACGAUAAUGCGGGUGAAAAACCCGCACGCCGGAAGACCAAGGGUUCCUGUCCAACGUUAAUCGGGGCAGGGUGAGUCGACCCCUAAGGCGAGGCCGAAAGGCGUAGUCGAUGGGAAACAGGUUAAUAUUCCUGUACUUGGUGUUACUGCGAAGGGGGGACGGAGAAGGCUAUGUUGGCCGGGCGACGGUUGUCCCGGUUUAAGCGUGUAGGUGUGUGUUCCAGGUAAAUCCGGUUCACUUUAACACUGAGGCGUGAUGACGAGGCACUACGGUGCUGAAGUGACAAAUGCCCUGCUUCCAGGAAAAGCCUCUAAGCAUCAGGUAACACGAAAUCGUACCCCAAACCGACACAGGUGGUCAGGUAGAGAAUACCAAGGCGCUUGAGAGAACUCGGGUGAAGGAACUAGGCAAAAUGGUGCCGUAACUUCGGGAGAAGGCACGCUGAUAUGUAGGUGAAGCGGUUUACCCGUGGAGCUGAAAUCAGUCGAAGAUACCAGCUGGCUGCAACUGUUUAUUAAAAACACAGCACUGUGCAAACACGAAAGUGGACGUAUACGGUGUGACGCCUGCCCGGUGCCGGAAGGUUAAUUGAUGGGGUUAUCCGUAAGGAGAAGCUC